UCAUGAGUAAAAGCAACAGUGGGAUUUUUAAUUAAGUCUGCUUAUUUUCUUUAAGGCUGACAAUACAUCUGAGAAUUUGACAUUUAUUUAUGUGUGCAUUCCAGAUUUGCACACUGCAUAUCAAAACCUGAGACAAGCCCAGUGAGGGAUGGGGUGGGGUGCUGAGAUAGCGUAUCUGCCUUGCUCUGCUGCCCGCAAGUGAAAUUCUUUCCAUCUGAGUCCUAGCAAGGUGGUUCUGGGUGAAGCAGAGCCCUUGACAGAAGGCUGUCUCUUGCCCUGAGUCAGCCACAAAGUUCACUUUGUUUUCAUCCACCUCUGCCUCUCCUCUGGCAUCCCAGCUCCUCCAAGAUGGUGACUCCCAUCUCCUGUUCUCAGGGUGGGGAACCCGUCAUCUCUCCUGCUUGCUGUGCUCUCUUGUACUUGCUCUGUAGGAACAGGCCCCUGGGGCUAAACAGGACUUCCCUUUUUCCAAGUCAUUGUUUUCUCAGUUCAGGCCCACUCCAUGACCUAACACAGCACGUUUACUUCCCAAACAUAGGAGUGCGAUGCAGGGAGCAGAAGGGGAGGCAGUCCCUGCUCCCAGCGCAGGCAGCCCGAUGCUUGCAGCCCCAUGGGGGGCUCAUGAUACCCAGGCAGUGGGCAUUAUAUCAUGUUGUAUCUCAGGCAAAGUUUCUAGCCAGGGAGCUGCUGAUCCUUAAGCAGAAAGUCAUUCCUGAUGACUCUCUUCUCCCCAGGGCGGCGCUGACUCUGCAAGCUAAAACAGGAGCAGCAAGCAGUAAUUGCAUCCACUUGGUUACUGGAGUGAGAGGCUUGGAGUCUGAAUUCAGUGGUGAUCUGGGAAGCCCGAGUGUUCCAUGCACAGGCCGAUCCCACGACCCCUGAGGAUGUCGGCACCGAUGGGAACGCAUCGCAGCCCUCCCCAGCAGCAGUCCCCACAGGGGCGCUCCCUGUGCACCUCAGAGGAGCCAAUGCUGUAAAUCCCAUCCUGGUGGUCUGUUGUCACACCUUGCCCCUGGGAUGAGGGUCUGUGAGAGGAUGCUGGAGCCCUGAUCCUGACACAGCGGUAACUGCACUGCAGGACAUGCUGAGCCCCGGAAAUUUGGGCUGGAAGGGCUCUUUGGGACUCUGCUCAGAGGCACUUGCAAGUGUGUGCACUGAACAGACUGAAGGAGCCCUGGUGGAGCUCGGUGCUCCCACAGCCCCAACCACCACAGAGCUGUAGCUCUGGAGAGCUGUGCAGACUUCCUGCAGAUCAGAGCUGGCUGCAGCAGUGCCUGGGGCUGCGCAGCUCCCUUGGAGCACCUUGCACACCAGCUUCCAGUGAAUACAGCAGUGGCAUUGUGAUUUUUUUAAAUGCCCUCUGCG
ensembl:lncRNA